GUCUAUGGCCAUGCCACCCUGAAUAAAAUUGAUCCUGUCUGAUCUUGGAAGCUAAGCAGUGUUGGGCCUGGUUAGUACUUGGAUGGGAGACCACCUAGGAAGACCAGGUGCUGUAGGCA
rnacentral:rRNA from 1 species